GUACACUCCUGCGGGAGGCAGCAGUGAGGAAUAUUGGACAAUGGGUGGAAGCCUGAUCCAGCCAUCCCGCGUGCAGGAAGACGGCCCUAUGGGUUGUAAACUGCUUUUAUCUGGGGAUAAACCUACUUACGUGUAAGUAGCUGAAGGUACCAGAAGAAUAAGCACCGGUUAACUCCGUGCCAGCAGCCGCGGUAAUACGGAGGGUGCAAGCGUUAUCCGGAUUUAUUGGGUUUAAAGGGUCCGUAGGCGGACUGAUAAGUCAGUGGUGAAAUCCGACAGCUUAACUGUCGAACUGCCAUUGAUACUGUUAGUCUUGAGUAAGGUUGAAGUGGCUGGAAUAAGUAGUGUAGCGGUGAAAUGCAUAGAUAUUACUUAGAACACCAAUUGCGAAGGCAGGUCACUAAGUCUUAACUGACGCUGAUGGACGAAAGCGUGGGGAGCGAACAGGAUUAGAAACCCUGGUAGUCCCA
rnacentral:rRNA from 1 species